UACGUAGGGAGCAAGCGUUGUCCGGAAUCAUUGGGCGUAAAGCGCGCGUAGGUGGCCAUGUAAGUCCGCUGUGAAAGUCAAAGGCUCAACCUUUGAAAGCCGGUGGAUACUGCAUGGCUAGAGUACGGGAGAGGCGAGUGGAAUUCCUGGUGUAGCGGUGGAAUGCGCAGAUAUCAGGAGGAACACCAAUAGCGAAGGCAGCUCGCUGGGACGUUACUGACACUGAGGCGCGAAAGCGUGGGGAGCGAACAGG
rnacentral:rRNA from 1 species